rnacentral:rRNA from 1 species
AGAGUUUGAUCAUGGCUCAGAAUGAACGCUGGCGGCAUGGAUUAGGCAUGCAAGUCGAACGUGCUCCCUUCGGGGAGAAAGUGGCGAAAGGGUGAGUAACACGUGAGCAACCUGCCUCCGGAUCCGGAAUAAUCCAGGGAAACUUGGUCUAAAACCGGAUGAAGACAUUGGUCCGCAUGGUCUAAUGUUAAAAUAUUUAUAGUCCGGAGAGGGGCUCGCGGCCCAUUAGCUUGUUGGCGGGGUAAUGGCCCACCAAGGCUACGACGGGUAGGUGGUCUGAGAGGAUGGUCACCCACACUGGGACUGAGACACUGCCCAGACUCCUACGGGAGGCUGCAGUCGAGAAUCUUCCGCAAUGGGCGCAAGCCUGACGGAGCGAUGCCGCGUGAGGGAUGAAGGCCUUCGGGUUGUAAACCUCUGUCAUCCGGGACGAAAACAAUGACGGUACCGGAAAAGGAAGCCACGGCUAACCACGUGCCAGCAGCCGC